rnacentral:rRNA from 1 species
UACGGGGGGGGCAAGCGUUGUUCGGAAUUACUGGGCGUAAAGGGCUCGUAGGCGGCCAACUAAGUCGGAUGUGAAAUCCCCAGGCUCAACUUGGGAACUGCAUCCGAUACUGGAUGGCUUGAAUUCGGGAGAGGGAUGCAGAAUUCCAGGUGUAGCGGUGAAAUGCGUAGAUAUCAGGAGGAACACCGGUGGCGAAGGCGGGACUCUGGGCCGAUACUGACGCUGAGGAGCGAAAGCGUGGGGAGCAAACAGG